rnacentral:rRNA from 1 species
UACGUAGGGUGCAAGCGUUAUCCGGAAUUAUUGGGCGUAAAGAGCUCGUAGGCGGUUUUGUCGCGUCUGCUGUGAAAACUGGAGGCUCAACCUCCAGCCUGCAGUGGGUACGGGCAAACUAGAGUGCGGUAGGGGGAGAUUGGAAUUCCUGGUGUAGCGGUGGAAUGCGCAGAUAUCAGGAGGAACACCGAUGGCGAAGGCAGAUCUCUGGGCCGUAACUGACGCUGAGGAGCGAAAGCUGGGGAGCGAACAGG